CGCGUAGGCGGCAAGGCAAGUCAGAUGUGAAAUCCCCGGGCCCAACCUGGGAAUUGCAUCUGAAACUGCAGUGCUUGAGUCCUGGAGGGGAUAGUGGAAUUCCCAGUGUAGCGGUGAAAUGCGUAGAUAUUGGGAGGAACACCUGCGGCGAAGGCGGCUAUCUGGACAGUGACUGACGCUGAUGCGCGAAAGCCAGGGGAGCGAACGG
rnacentral:rRNA from 1 species